rnacentral:rRNA from 1 species
GACGAACGCUGGCGGCGUGCUUAACACAUGCAAGUCGAACGGAAAGGCCCUGCUUGCAGGGUGCUCGAGUGGCGAACGGGUGAGUAACACGUGGGUGAGCUGCCCCUUACUGUGGGAUAAGCCUGGGAAACUGGGUCUAAUACUGGAUAGGACCAUGCUGUAGGUGGUGUGGUGGAAAGAUUAGUUUCGGUAAGGGAUGAGCUCGCGGCCUAUCAGCUUGUUGGUGGGGUAAUGGCCUACCAAGGCGUCGACGGGUAGCCGGCCUGAGAGGGUGGACGGCCACAUUGGGACUGAGAUACGGCGCAGACUCCUACGGGAGGCAGCAGUGGGGAAUAUUGCACAAUGGGCGCAAGCCUGAUGCAGCGACGCCGCGUGGGGGAUGACGGCAUUCGGGUUGUAAACUUCUUACAGCCAUGACGAAGCCCUUGUGGUGACGGUAGUGGUAGAAGAAGCACCGGCUAAAUACGUG